ACUCCGGUUGAUCCUGCCGGACCCGACCGCUAUCGGGGUAGGGCUAAGCCAUGGGAGUCGAACGCCCCGCCGCUGCGGGGCGUGGCGGACGGCUGAGUAACACGUGGCUAACCUACCCUCGGGACGGGGAUAACCCCUCGGGAAACUGGGGCUAAUCCCCGAUAGGCGGGGGGUGCCUGGAAGGGUCCUCCGCCGAAAGGGGCCGCGGGGGGUUAUCGCCCGCGGUCCGCCCGAGGAUGGGGCUGCGGCCCAUCACGGUAGUUGGCGGGGUAAUGGCCCGCCAAGCCUACGACGGGUAGGGGCCGUGAGAGCGGGAGCCCCCAGAUGGGCACUGAGACAAGGGCCCAGGCCCUACGGGGCGCACCAGGCGCGAAAACUCCGCAAUGCGGGCAACCGUGACGGGGCUACCCCGAGUGCCCCCCUUGGGGGGGCUUUUCCCCGCUGUAAGUAGGCGGGGGAAUAAGCGGGGGGCAAGACUGGUGUCAGCCGCCGCGGUAAUACCAGCCCCGCGAGCGGUCGGGGUGCUUACUGGGCCUAAAGCGCCCGUAGCCGGCUCGACAAGUCCCCGCCUAAAGCCCCGGGCUCAACCCGGGGAGUGGCGGGGAUACUGUCGGGCUAGGGGGCGGGAGAGGCCGAGGGUACUCCCGGGGUAGGGGCGAAAUCCAUUAAUCCCGGGAGGACCACCAGUGGCGAAGGCGCUCGGCUGGAACGCGCCCGACGGUGAGGGGCGAAAGCCGGGGGAGCGAACCGGAUUAGAUACCCGGGUAGUCCCGGCUGUAAACGAUGCGGGCUAGGUGUUGGGCGGGCGUGCGAGCCCGCCCAGUGCCGCAGGGAAGCCGUUAAGCCCGCCGCCUGGGGAGUACGGCCGCAAGGCUGAAACUUAAAGGAAUUGGCGGGGGAGCACCACAAGGGGUGGAGCCUGCGGCUUAAUUGGAGUCAACGCCGGGAACCUCCACCGGGGGCGACAGCAGGAUGACGGCCAGGCUGAAGGCCUUGCCCGACGCGCUGAGGGGAGAUGCAUGGCCGUCGCCAGCUCGUGCCGUGAGGUGUCCUGUUAAGUCAGGCAACGAGCGAGACCCCCGCCCCUAGUUGCCAUCCCCGGGGCGACCCGGGGGGCACACUAGGGGGACUGCCGCCGCUAAGGCGGAGGAAGGAGGGGGCAACGGCAGGUCAGCAUGCCCCUAAACCCCCGGGCUGCACGCGGGCUACAAUGGCGGGGACAGCGGGUGCCGACCCCGAAAGGGGGAGGCAAUCCCUCAAACCCCGCCUCAGUUGGGAUCGAGGGCUGCAACUCGCCCUCGUGAACGUGGAAUCCCUAGUAACCGCGCGUCAUCAUCGCGCGGUGAAUACGUCCCUGCUCCUUGCACACACUGCCCGUCGCUCCACCCGAGGGGGGAGGGGGUGAGGCCCUCUCCGCCGGGAGGGGGUCGAACCCCCUCCCCCCGAGGGGGGAGAAGUCGUAACAAGGUAGCCGUAGGGGAACCUGCGGCUGGAUCACCUC
rnacentral:rRNA from 2 species